rnacentral:rRNA from 1 species
UACAGAGGGUGCGAGCGUUAAUCGGAAUUACUGGGCGUAAAGCGUGCGUAGACGGUAAUGUAAGUCGGGUGUGAAAGCCCCGGGCUCAACCUGGGAAUUGCAUUCGAGACUGCAUUGCUUGGGUGCGGAAGAGGGAAGCGGAAUUUCCGGUGGAGCGGUGAAAUGCGUAGAGAUCGGAAAGAACACCAACGGCGAAAGCACUCUGCUGGGCCGACACUGACACUGAGAGACGAAAGCUAGGGGAGCGAAUGGG